CCUUCUUUCCUGUCCAGCUCAGUUGCAAAGCAUCUGCAGUGUCCCCAGGACGACGUUCUGGGCAAGUGUCAGGAGAAGUUAUUUAACCAGCUGGAAGCAGGGUCAAGUUGGAUUCCAAACAGACAGAAAAAGAGUUGCGUAAUAACUACAUGAUGCAAGCAAUUGAAUUAUACAGAUGUCAUCAUCAGAAUGUGCUCCUUUUGUGGGGCAGCAGGAAGCCAAUCAGUUCAGACCAACUGAUAGAGUCAUCACUGCUAAUUUAGAAGCGCUUAGAAAAUCACUGCGUGGCCAUGCCCUGGAACCAAGCAACACAAUCCAUGUGCAUUUACUCAGAAGUGACUGCUGACCUCGUGACAUUUUACAAGGAUUUACUGGACAAGAUAUUCAUACACGCUAUGUCAGGUUGCUUGCCAAACCCAGCAGCGGCUGGUGUGGAAUUCCAUUUGCAAACCUGCGUGUUAAACCUCACUGGCCUGAAACAGAGAGACACGUGCCCAAGGAUCAGAAGAAAAGUUCAUCCAGAAGUAUGUGUGCCUCCCUUCAGUGAAGCUUGCUCCCUUGACUGUGGUUUUAAUUACCAUCCUCCUGCUUGGCCACCGUUCUCUGCACAUUCAAAAUAACAGAUGUAUUCAUUUGUAAGAAUGAAAACAGAAUAAUCAGUGUCUUCAAAGACAGCCGUUAAAGGAGCCAAAAUAAGAACAAGCGGCCGGUCCUCAUGAUGAGGCAAUGUCUGAUGAAAAGGGAGCAUUUUGUUAUGUGACUGAAAUGUCUACACUUGAAUGGAGGGGACUGAUCCUCCCCAACUAAAUUUGAUGGGCUUCAGCUCUCAUUAUCCCCAUCCAGCAUGGGUACAGGUGAUUGGAACUGAAAUACAAUACAUUUGGAAGACAUAAAAUCAGCAAGAGAAAGUUUCUUUUCUAAGAGAGACUUUCCUGGGACAGUCUCACUGAACUGAAUGCAUUGUAAUUUUAAAUUGACACGGAGCUUCUAUAGCAUUCCAACCUUGCAUUAUUAAAACCCUUCAUUUUUUUCCCUUCUACAAACCCUGGUAGCUGCUUGAUUGGAUAUACCCAAAUCUAUCUCCCAAGCAGUACACAUAAAGUAAAUCCACGUUUGAGCUUUGUUCGCACUGGUAAUUACUGCACUAUUGCACUAAUCAUUAAGACUAAUGCCUGCAACCAUAUUAAUAUUGCUGCACCCACCUACCCAAUCCUCUCAAUAUGUAAGAGAUCUCUCAUGGGGUUGUAGGAGGAGCAGCUGGGUAUGAGUAGAUGCAGGGACUCAGAUCUAAGCAUCAACAUCUGGGAUCUUGAUGAAUGAAGAACUCAGAGAACUGCUAUGAGUGCCCAAUCAUUUGCGUCAGUAUACAUGAGCUUCAGGGGGGACACGGUGGUGCAGCGGCUUAAUGACGCUGAAAGUUGCCGGCCAGAAAUGGUCGACGCUUCAGAGGUUCGAGUCCAGC